AUUGAACGCUGGCGGCAGGCCUAACACAUGCAAGUCGAACGGUAACAGGAAGCAGCUUGCUGCUUUGCUGACGAGUGGCGGACGGGUGAGUAAUGUCUGGGAAACUGCCCGAUGGAGGGGGAUAACUACUGGAAACGGUAGCUAAUACCGCAUAACGUCGCAAGACCAAAGAGGGGGACCUUAGGGCCUCUUGCCAUCGGAUGUGCCCAGAUGGGAUUAGCUAGUAGGUGGGGUAACGGCUCACCUAGGCGACGAUCCCUAGCUGGUCUGAGAGGAUGACCAGCUACACUGGAACUGAGACACGGUCCAGACUCCUACGGGAGGCAGCAGUGGGGAAUAUUGCACAAUGGGCGCAAGCCUGAUGCAGCCAUGCCGCGUGUAUGAAGAAGGCCUUCGGGUUGUAAAGUACUUUCAGCGGGGAGGAAGGGAGUAAAGUUAAUACCUUUGCUCACUGACGUUACCCGCAGAAGAAGCACCGGCUAACUCCGUG
rnacentral:rRNA from 1 species